GACGAACGCUGGCGGCGUGCUUAACACAUGCAAGUCGAACGGAAAGGCCCUGCUUUUGUGGGGUGCUCGAGUGGCGAACGGGUGAGUAACACGUGAGUAACCUGCCCUUGACUUUGGGAUAACUUCAGGAAACUGGGGCUAAUACCGGAUAGGAGCUCCUGCUGCAUGGUGGGGGUUGGAAAGUUUCGGCGGUUGGGGAUGGACUCGCGGCUUAUCAGCUUGUUGGUGGGGUAGUGGCUUACCAAGGCUUUGACGGGUAGCCGGCCUGAGAGGGUGACCGGCCACAUUGGGACUGAGAUACGGCCCAGCCUCCUACGGGAGGCAGCAGUGGGGAAUAUUGCACAAUGGGCGGAAGACUGAUGCAGCAACGCCGCGUGCGGGAUGACGGCCUUCGGGUUGUAAACCGCUUUCGCCUGUGACGAAGCGUGAGUGACGGUAAUGGGUAAAGAAGCACCGGCUAACUACGUG
rnacentral:rRNA from 1 species